rnacentral:misc_RNA from 1 species
AGUUCUGCAACAAACCCAUUUCUAAGAUCAUUACAAUAGUCUAGAAACCUAGCUGUAUAACUGUAACUAUCGUUCCAGUUGUUUCCAUCCCCUGGUUGCGCCCAGCCCUGUGGUACAUAAUUAGCCUUUAGCCUCACAAAAUCUGCAAUUCCUUCAAUCACAUGACUUGGAGCUUUGUUUCCCGCAGACCCAUCCCACUGCCAAACGUGUGUCAUCUCAUGAUAGACCACCCCAUUAAAGUCUGGCUUGAUAUCACCUUGGAUCUUUUCAAUAAAAUUAUCCCCUACAGAGAUCUCGUUGUUGCCUGUUUUAGCGAUCUCGUCAUCACCAAG